ensembl:lncRNA
AUGAUAGAACAUUCCACCGUAAACCCGAAGCUCCACCCCAGCCACGUGUUGCCCAGCCUCAAUGACCAUCAGCUCAAGGCAUGGCCUUGGGAGGGAGACAGUCUGGCAGCUGUGAGAAGCAUAAGGAGCAGGAGGGGCGCCGGGGGCACCGGGCCUGGAUGCGGAGCGGACGCCUCUCCUCUGGACACGCACACAGCGCCCUCUGAUUCUAGCGCCCAAGGAGCAGCAUCGCCACGGACUUUGACUUCGCUUUACGAAAUAAAAAUCAACACAACGUGUAGAGUAAGCUGAGGUUCUUCGGGCUCUAGUCCUGGCACAGCUCCAACUGACUGGGAGGAGCCACUGGGCAGCUGGGCCCCUCAGGGAGCUUCCAUUCAGCAACUCCGGUAAAAGGGUAAGGUAACAAAGACAAAGGGUGUCCUUAGAGGUUACGGUGAGCGCUGAGCACCAAGGCUUGGGGAUGAGAAGAAAAGCAAUUCAAGGAACUGCCAUCUCCCCGCCUGUCUCUCACUUUCCUUCUUCCCGGUGUCCCGGCCAAAUACAACAGCCCCUCAGCCACCCCCCAUCCCCACGCCCCACCCCCACACAACAAUUUCCCUCUGGGCUCCAGGUGUUUACUUGGUCUGGAAUGCUCUUCCCUCAGCCCCUAAGGGUCAACUGCUUCCUUCCCAGGGUGUGGGCCCUGGGUGUGGGACAGUGGCCCCAUGCACUCCUGGGCACAUGAGCAUUUGCGUGAAUCACUGGAUCGUAUUCUCCCUGUUGUGUCCAAUGGGCCAGUGUUAGCUUCCUUGGAGGAUUCUUGUGAAGACUAAAUUAGAGAGUAUGUAUUCAGCAUAGUGCCGGAACAUAAUAGGUGCUCAAACAAAUACGGGAGGGAAUAAUAAUACAGAAUAAUGCAUGAGUGUUCGGGGAGUCGUGGAGCGUCAGAUACAAUCAGAAAGGGAUCCAAGAUCCUGAGCUCUGACUGCUUGAAACGCUAUCUUCCCUGUCACAGUGCAUGGCAUACAGUCAGCACGUGACCAACACUCACCCAAUGAGUUAUUCCAUAUGGAAAACCAUGGAUGGCAAACUAAAAAGUCUAGUGUUUGUUUUGUCUUUUUAUUCAACUAACAUUAAGUGCUAACUGUGUGCCAGGCACUAUGGCAGCCUCUGGGGAGACAAAGAAACCGGGCCCUGUCCUCCAGAUGGCUACAGAAGUCAGAUUUUAGGAGGGAUUUGGGGAUGGGGGUGGGGAGGAGGGUUGGAUGAACAGAACCCUGGGGAGGGUAGGGGGGAAGCCGAGAGAAGCUAGCGUGGCCUGCCAGGCCAGGCAGAGCUGAGGGUGGCCAGAGGGCUGGUUUGGGAGACAGGCCAGAGGAGAAUUCUCAGCAGGUAGAGGGACAAGGUGGCAUGAGAGAUUUCCACAGAGGGGACUCCAGAAUCCCAGGAAUUUGUCUGAUCCCUGAAGAGCAGGGGUUUUCCCAGCACCCCUGGGAGGAGGUAGCACCUCUAACCACAUCCCACCCUCCACCCCCUGCCCUUCACUAGAAACUCUGUCCGGUCCACAACAGGGCAUACUGGGGCUCACACUGACCCUCAAAUGUAGGGAGCAAUUUCCCAGUGCAACCCGCAAUACAGAGCCCAAGACCCGAGGCUCAGAGACUUUCCAAGAGGGAAGGAACUGGGCUGAGCUCAGAGGAGCUUAACUGAACAUUAAGCAAACACCUUUCAUUAUAGCAACUCAGGGUCUUUCCAUUCGUCUCCUUAAUGUGCAAUUAACUGUUCCCACUUUAUGCCAUAUUAUUUCUCUUCCUCUGCUCUCUUGCUCCCUACCUCUCUCCAUGGGGUGAGAUUUUAAUUUAUCCAUUCAUGUAACAAUUAUCCAUUGAGUACCAACAUGCCAGAGAUACAAAGAAAAACAAGACAGAACCCCAGCUUUCCACCUUGGCAACAGUUAUUGAACGUUAAAUGUCAUCACAGCCUUUGACUCAGCAGGUUCAACUCCCAAGAAUUUAUUCUAAAGAUACACUCCCUAGGGGCUCCUGGGUGGCGCAGUCGGUUAAGCGUCCGACUUCAGCCAGGUCACAAUCUCGCAGUCUGUGAGUUCGAGCCCCGUGUCAGGCUCUGGGCUGAUGGCUCAGAGCCUGGAGCCUGUUUCUGAUUCUGUGUCUCCCUCUCUCUCUGCCCCUCCCCCGUUCAUGCUCUGUCUCUCUCUGUCCCAAAAAUAAAUAAAUGUUGAAAAAAAAAUAAUAAAGAUAC